AUUGAACGCUGGCGGCAGGCCUAACACAUGCAAGUCGAGCGGAUGAAGGGAGCUUGCUCCUGGAUUCAGCGGCGGACGGGUGAGUAAUGCCUAGGAAUCUGCCUGGUAGUGGGGGAUAACGUCCGGAAACGGGCGCUAAUACCGCAUACGUCCUGAGGGAGAAAGUGGGGGAUCUUCGGACCUCACGCUAUCAGAUGAGCCUAGGUCGGAUUAGCUAGUUGGUGGGGUAAAGGCCUACCAAGGCGACGAUCCGUAACUGGUCUGAGAGGAUGAUCAGUCACACUGGGACCGGAGCACGGUCCCAGCUCCUACGGGGAGGCAGCGUGGGGAAAAUUGGGCAAUGGGGCGAAACCUGGACCCAGCCAGGCGGGUGUGUGGAGGAAGUCUUCCGAUUGUUAAACCCUUUUAGGUGGGAGGAAGGGGAGUUAGGUAAAAACCUGCCUGUUUGACGUUACCAAAAAAAAUAGGCACGGCUAAAUUCGUG
rnacentral:rRNA from 1 species